rnacentral:tRNA from 1 species
UCCCCAGUGUCUCAGAUGGUAAAGAAUCUGCCUUCAAUGCAGGAGACCCAGGUUUGAUCCCUGGGUUAGGAA